AUUGAACGCUGGCGGCAGGCCUAACACAUGCAAGUCGAGCGGAUGAAGCGAGCUUGCUCCUGGAUUCAGCGGCGGACGGGUGAGUAAUGCCUAUGAAUCUGCCUGGUAUUGGGGGAUAACGUCCUGAAACGGGCGCUAAUACCGCAUACGUCCUGAGGGAGAAAGUGGGGGAUCUUCGGACCUCACGCUAUCAGAUGAGCCUAGGUCGGAUUAGCUAGUUGGUGGGGUAAAUGCCUACCGAGGCGACGAUCCGUAACUGGUCUGAGAGGAUGAUCAGUCACACUGGAAGUGAGACACGGUCCAGACUCCUACGGGAGGCAGCAGUGGGGAAUAUUGGACAAUGGGCGAAAGCCUGAUCCAGGCAUGCCGCGUGUGUGAAGAAGGUCUUCGGAUUGUAAAGCACUUUAAGUUGGGAGGAAGGGCAGUAAGUUAAUACCUUGCUGUUUUGACGUUACCAGCAGAAUAAGCACCGGCUAACUUCGUG
rnacentral:rRNA from 1 species